GGAAUAUUGCACAAUGGACGAAAGUCUGAUGCAGCAACGCCGCGUGGAGGAUGAAGGCCCUUGGGUCGUAAACUCCUUUUUUCGGGGAAGAGAAUGGACGGUACCUGAAGAAUAAGUCACGGCUAACUACGUGCCAGCAGCCGCGGUAAUCCGUAGGUGGCAAGCGUUAUCCGGAAUUACUGGGCGUAAAGCGCACGCAGGCGGUCUUUUAAGUUUGACGUGAAAGCUCCCGGCUUAACUGGGAGAGGUCGUUGAAUACUGGAAGACUUGAGGCAAUGAGAGGGGUGUAGAAUUCCCGGUGUAGUGGUGGAAUGCGUAGAUAUCGGGGGGAAUACCAGUGGCGAAAGCGGCACCCUAGCGUUAGCCUGACGCUCAUGUGCGAAAGCGUGGGGAGCAA
rnacentral:rRNA from 1 species